UACAGAGGUCCCAAGCGUUGUUCGGAUUCAUUGGGCGUAAAGGGUGCGUAGGUGGCGCCGUAAGUCGGGUGUGAAAUUUCGGAGCUUAACUCCGAAACUGCAUUCGAUAACUGCGGUGCUUGAGGACUGGAGAGGAGACUGGAAUUCAUGGUGUAGCAGUGAAAUGCGUAGAGAUCAUGAGGAAGACCAGUGGCGAAGGCGGGUCUCUGGACAAGUUCCGUGACACUGAGGCACUGAAGGCCAGGGGAGCAAACGGG
rnacentral:rRNA from 1 species